AGAUACGCGCAGAACCUUACCAACACUUGACAUGUUCGUCGCGACUCUAAGAGAUUAGAGUUUUCGGUUCGGCCGGACGAAACACAGGUGCUGCAUGGCUGUCGUCAGCUCGUGUCGUGAGAUGUUGGGUUAAGUCCCGCAACGAGCGCAACCCUCACUUUUAGUUGCCAUCAUUAAGUUGGGCACUCUGAAAGAACUGCCAGUGAUAAGCUGGAGGAAGGUGGGGAUGACGUCAAGUCCUCAUGGCCCUUACGUGUUGGGCUACACACGUGCUACAAUGGCAUCUACAACAGGAAGCAAAACGGCAACGUUAAGCAAAUCCCGAAAAGAUGCCUCAGUUCGGAUUGCACUCUGCAACUCGAGUGCAUGAAGCUGGAAUUACUAGUAAUCGUGGAUCAGCGUGCCACGGUGAAUGCGUUCCCGGGUCUUGUACACACCGCCCGUCACACCAUGGGAGUUGGUUCUACCUUAAGGCAAGGUUUNAA
rnacentral:rRNA from 1 species